rnacentral:rRNA from 1 species
CCUCGGGAGGCAGCAGUGGGGAAUUGUUCGCAAUGGGCGCAAGCCUGACGACGCAACGCCGCGUGGAGGAUGAAGACCUUCGGGUUGUAAACUCCUGUCGCGCGGGACGAAUGCCGCACGGGUGAACAGCCCGUGCGGGUGACGGUACCGCGAGAGGAAGCCCCGGCUAACUCCGUGCCAGCAGCCGCGGUAAUACGGGGGGGGCGAGCGUUGUUCGGAAUUACUGGGCGUAAAGUGUCCGUAGGCGGCCGGCCCAGUCGGACGUAAAAUCCCCCGGCUCAACCGGGGAAGGGCGUCCGAUACUAGUCGGCUCGAGUGCGGGAGAGGGACGUGGAAUUCCCGGUGUAGGGGUGAAAUGCGUAGAUAUCGGGAGGAACACCGGUGGCGAAGGCGGCGUCCUGGACCGUGACUGACGCUGAGGGACGAAAGCCGGGGGAGCAAACGGGAUUAGAUACCCCUGUAGU